rnacentral:rRNA from 1 species
AUGGAAAUGAAACAGAGCUCGCUCGGCCGGUCGGUCAGGCAGGGGUGGAGUGGAGUGGAAUGGCAUUUGGCCUGUAAUAACAGCGACAAAACUGGGUAUAUGUACUUUUUAUUUUACUUGGGUAUAAGCGGCGGCUCGGCGCGGGGAUCGAUCAUCGGAUCCGCAGUCCCGCCACGGCCGAUGAUCCGGCGAGCGAGCCGCCGCCUCCUCAGUGCCAUCCCACACCGCACUCUCCCGUCCCGCCGCGGCCUCGCGGCCAGCGCGGCGCUGCGGUGGCUGGACGACGAGCUCGCCUCGCUCGCCCUCCCCGAACGCGGGCCCGGCGUCGACUCGCACGCGUGCGCCAGGCUCCUGCAGGGCUGCGUCGCGCGCGGCGAUGCCCGCGGCGGCCGCGCCGCGCACGGCCACGUUCUGCGGGGCGGCGGCCCGGACCUCUUCUGCGCCAACGUCCUGAUCAACCUGUACGCCAAGCUCGGGCCCUUCGCCGGCGCGCGCAGGGUGUUCGACGGGCUGCCGGACCGGAACACGGUGUCUUUCGUCACGCUCCUCCAGGCCCACGCGCUGCGCGGGGACUUCGAGGCCGCGGCGGCGCUCUUCCGGAGGCUGCGGCUGGAGCGGCACGAGGUGAACCAGUUCGUGCUCACCUCGCUGCUCAAGCUCGUCGUUGCCAUGGACGCUCUGGGGCUCGCCUGGGCCGUCCACGCUUGCGCGUGCAAGCUGGGCCAUGACCGGAACGCCUUUGUCGGGUCUGCGCUCAUCGAUGCCUACUCCAUGUGCGCGGCUGUCGGCGAUGCAAGGCGCCUGUUUGACGGGAUCCUGGGUAAGGAUGCUGUGGCUUGGACUGCUAUGGUUUCUUGCUAUUCUGAGAAUAACUGCCCGGAGAACGCGCUUCACGUUUUCCGGGAGAUGAGGGUGGCGGCUUCUAAGAUCAACCCCUUUGCUCUGACCAGCGUGCUCAGGGCUGCCGUGUGCUUGUCGUCGGUUGCGCUGGGCAAGGGUAUCCAUGCCUGUUCAGUAAAAACACUUUAUGAUGCCGAGCCUCGCGUUCGUGGUGCGCUGCUUGAUAUGUAUGCCAAAUGUGGGAAUAUUGAGGAUGCCCGCUUGGCUUUCGACAUGGUUCCCCAUGAUGAUGUGAUACUUUGGAGUUUUAUGAUAUCCCUGUACGCACAGGGCAAUCAGAACGAGCAGGCCUUCGAGCUGUUCAUCAAAAUGAUGCGGUCUUCUGUGGUGCCUAAUGAAUUUAGUCUAUCAAGUGUUCUGCAAGCUUGUGCUAAUAUACCACUCUUGGACCUAGGCAAGCAAAUUCAUAGCAAUGCUAUGAAGAUUGGUCACGAGUCUGAGUUAUUUGUUGGAAAUGCACUGAUGGAUCUCUAUGCCAAGUGCAGCGACAUGGAAAGCUCACUCAAGAUCUUCUCAUCAUUGCGGGGUGCCAACGAGGUGAGCUGGAACACAGUUAUUGUUGGUUACAGCCAGUCUGGUUUUGGAGAAGAUGCUUUGAGUGUAUUCCGUGAGAUGCGUGCUGCUAGGGCGCCUUCAACUCAAGUUACAUACUCAAGCGUGCUCCGGGCUUGCGCAAGCACAGCAUCCAUCAAUCAUGUUGGCCAGGUUCACUGUUUGGUUGAGAAAUCCACAUUCAACAGUGACACCAUUGUAAGUAACUCACUUAUUGACUCAUAUGCAAAGUGUGGAUGCAUCAGGGAUGCUCGCAAGAUAUUUGAAACUCAGAAAGAACAUGAUAUAAUUUCAUGGAAUUCCAUAAUCUCAGGAUAUGCUGUUCAUGGAGAUGCUGCACAUGCCCGAGAACUUUUUGACAGGAUGAACAAGAGCGGUAUUGAAGCUAACGAUAUCACUUUUGUUGCUCUCCUGUCUGUCUACGGUAGCACGGGUUUAGUGAGCCAAGGACUCUCUCUGUUUGACUCCAUGAAGCUUUAUCAUGGCAUCAAACCAUCCAUGGAGCAUUACACUUGCAUUGUUAGGCUUCUAGGACGUGCUGGCCGUCUGCAUGAUGCUCUAAAAUUUAUUGGAGAUAUCCCUUCAGCACCAUCUGCUAUGGUUUGGCGUGCAUUGCUUAGCUCCUGUAUAGUGCAUAAAAAUGUGGAUCUGGGGAGAUUUUCUGCAGAGAAGGUGCUUGAGAUUGAACCACAAGAUGAAACAACUUAUGUCUUGCUAUCAAACAUGUAUUCUGCAGCUGGGAAUUUAGAUGAAGUUGCACUUUUGAGGAAGUCAAUGAGGAAUAUAGGUGUAAGGAAGGAGACUGGUCUUAGUUGGGUUGAGAUGAAGGGUGAAAUUCAUGCCUUUUCAGUAGGGUUGGAAGACCAUCCAGAUAUGCGAGUGAUACAUGCUAUGCUAGAAUGGCUAAACCUGAAAGCCACCAGGGCAGGUUAUGUUCCUGAUACUAACGUAGUGUUGCAUGACGUAGACGAGGAACAAAAGGCUCGCAUGCUGUGGGUGCAUAGUGAGAGAUUGGCUUUAGCAUAUGGGCUUGUGAUGACACCUCCUGGGUAUCCAAUUCGGAUAAUGAAGAAUUUGCGCUCCUGCUUGGAUUGCCAUGCCAUAUUCAAGGUGAUCUCCAAAAUAGUCAAACAAGAAAUUAUUGUGAGAGACAUCAAUCGAUUUCAUCAUUUUGACAAGGGAGCAUGCUCAUGUGGUGACUAUUGGUGA